AGAAGGCAGAGCUGCGAAUCAAAUCCAGGUUUGUCUCGACAUGCCACUAGCUCAUACUUCCCUUGGAUCAGCCACUAAAUGGCUUUCACUCCAGUGAGCAGCGACCAGCACCAGAAUUAUGGAACAUUUAUCAACAGCCUAAAAUAAAGACAACACGAGGAGAAUUUGGUUGCUUAUAUAGAUUCAAGGUACAAUCCUGCUGGAUUCUGGGAUUACAGGACUGUAGACAAAAGAGAAAUCAUCAUGGACUGUUCACUGGACAAAAUUUCAUGGAGAGGAGAAGACCUUUGGCGGUUCAUGGAUGUUCUAUAAUAAGUUAGGUAACUAACAGGCUAACUUUCUUGAGCACCUACACUGUGUAGGGCACUGUACUGGUACUUCUCAUACCUUCUCUCAUUCAUAUAAUCCUCUGAGGUAGGUGUUAUCCUCUCUACAGCAGGGAAAAUCAAUACCCAGAGAAGGGGAGAGACGUCCAUGGCACACAGGAGAGGACAGAGCCAAGAAUGAAUAUAGGACACCAGUGCCCCAACUCUUAACCACUACCAUACACGGUUUUAUAAAGUAAAUUUUAAAAGUCGACUUUAAAACAUGUAUGCAACAUUGUGUCCAGUCUCCCAAAACAAAAGAACAAUGAGCGUUCCCUUUUCCCUUGAUGUGUGGGCAGGUCUGUAGAGUAGUACAAGAAGAGAUUAUGUUCUGCAUUCUCACUUCAACAAGAAAGUCCUGGUCCACCAAUAAUACCUUUAAGCUUCAGGAUAAUUGUGAAAAGGCCAACUAGUUAAUCAAACAUUUUCCCAAACUUAAGAAAAACACCAAGAAGGAAUAUAAGUACAGGGGACAUUAGAGGAUAAGCUCAUAAGGGCUGGACUAAAUCUUUUUUUUUUUUUUUUUUUUUGAGACAGAAUCUCGGAAUCUCGCUCUGUCGCCCAGGCUGGAGUGCAGUGGUGCAAUCUUGGCUCACUGCAAGCUCCACCUCCUGGAUUCCUGCCAUUCUCCUGCCUCAGCCUCCCGAGUAGCUGGGACUACAGGCACCUGCCACCAUGGUGGGCCAAUUUUUUGUAUUUUUGGUAGAGAUGGGGUUUCACCAUGUUAGCCAGGAUGGUCUCGAUCUCCUGACCUCAUGAUUCGCCCGCCUCGGCCUCCCAACGUGCUGGGAUUACAGGCGUGAGCCACCGCGCCUGGCCUAAAUCUUUUAAGGAGACUCAGUCUUUGUGGCCUGACACUUGGGGAACAGUCAGCUUCAGGAAGUUGGGAUGCCACACCUUUGUUUCUUGAACCAUUUAGGGAGGUGUUUCUUGAACCAUUUUGAAAUCAGAAGUGUGAGUCCUCCAGCCCUGACUUUUUUUUCAAGAUUGUUUUGGCUAUUUCAGGUCCCUUGCAAUCCCAUAUGAAUUUUUUAUUUUUUAUUUUUUGAGACCGACUCUCACUCUGUUGCCCAGGCUGGAGUGCGGUUGCAUGAUCUCAGCUCACUGCAAGCUCCACCUCCCGGGUUCAAGUGAUUCUUGUGCCUCAGCCUCCUGAGUAGCUUGGACUACAGACGUGAGCCACCAUGUCCAGCUAAUUCUUGUAUUUUUAGUAGAGGCGGGCUUUCACGACGUUGGCCAGGCUGAUCUCGAACUCCUGACCUCAGGGGAUACGCCCGCCUCGGCCUCCCAAAGUGCUGAGAUUUUGGUGUGAACCAAUGCGCCUGGCCACAAUCACAUAUGAAUUUGAGGAUAUGCUUUUUCCAUUGAGCAAAAAAGCUAUUGGGAUUUUUAUAGGGAUUGUGUUGAAUCUGUACAUUGUUUUGGGUAUUGUCAUCUUAACAAUACUAAGUCUUCCAGUUUAUGAAUGUGGGUAACUUCUAAUUUAUUUAUUUCUUCAUUAAUCUCUUUCAGCAAUGUUUUUACAGUUUUCAGUGUAUAAUAUUUACUUCU
rnacentral:lncRNA from 10 species